GACAGAGGGUGCAAACGUUUGUUCGGAAUUACUGGGCGUAAAGCGCACGUAGGCGGCUUUGUAAGUUAGAGGUGAAAGCCCAGGGCUUAACCCUGGAAUUGCCUUUAAGACUGCAUCGCUAGAAUCGUGGAGAGGUGAGUGGAAUUCCGAGUGUAGAGGUGAAAUUCGUAGAUAUUCGGAAGAACACCAGUGGCGAAGGCGACUCACUGGACACGUAUUGACGCUGAGGUGCGAAAGCGUGGGGAGCAAACAGG
rnacentral:rRNA from 1 species